rnacentral:tRNA from 1 species
GAGUGUAUAGCUCAAGUGGUAGAGCACAUGCUUAGCAUGCACAAGGUCUUGGGUUCAAUUCCCAGUACCUCCU